GUUCCUUCAAGAGCAAGUGAAAGCUAGUGAAGAGGAAACAAACAGUACAGUUUAAAUCCCAUUAUAGAGGUAUUGAGAGGAUGCGUUGGGAGCAGGCAAGAAGAAUUACCAUGGGAAAAUCUGAGAAACAUUUUUAAGGGGAUGAAGAAUAGGAAAUUAUCGUAAGACACACUGGGAGAGAUACUGCUCAUGUCAAUUGGAAGAGCAACAUAAAAACAUGAAGAUGGCAACAAGGAUUCAAGCUUUGGGGUAUGAAAACAGUGUUCAAAUAAAGCUGCUAGAGGUGCUUUCAAACACUGCCAAAAACGAAGAUGACAUGAUGAUAAUCUAAUAGACUUGGAGCCAGCAUCUGACAGCACUCCUCCAGCAGAAUCCUAGUUUCUAUCAGUCAAGGCGUAUAUAAUCAGAAACAGAACUCUGCAUGCAACAAGAUAUGGGCAUCCCAUCCGACACAGAGUUCUGCCACUAUUCAUGCACUAUGGCGGGGUCCAGCAACCCUUCCAUGCCUCUCAUCUUUGUCUCUUCUUUUCCUCUUCCAAUGUUCCCACUGUCAUUUCAGGCCUUGUUAUUUUCACCUGGGCCAUCAAUAGCCUCCUAACUGGUCCCCUGCCUCUAGUUCUAGCUCUAUUUUCCUAAAAUCUAUUUUUGCCUAUGGUGCUCUCUUGAACUGCAGCAUCCACUGUCUUCCAUUCCUAUCAUCUAUCAAAUGAAAUAUGAGCUGGUAUUUGGCAGCCCUCUUCCUCUACACCUAAAUAUACAGCCUAUGUUCUAGUCUAGCUACAAAGCUUUGCCUUGCUUUUCCUUCCGCCUAUAUAUUUUUUCCUUAUCUCUGCUUUUCAAAUUCCACCCUCUCAUUAAGACCUAACUCAAAGGCACCUGCUGUAGGAAUCUUUCUCUAGUUACACCCACUGAAAAUGACCUCUGUCUUCUAGGGUCUAUAAUCCAGACAUCUAUCUGAUAUUAUAACCUCCGUGAGAGGCUUUAACCAUUACUAGAUUAUAAAAUGAUUGAAAACAGAUUCUGGUGUUGUUCCUUUUUCACCAAACACAUAGAGUUUUGUUGCUGGCAGGUGAUUAAUAAAUAUUAAUUAAGUGAACAAGACAGCCCUGGAGCAAUUCUACUGAAACUUUGGGUUUAAGAACAGUUAGGGAAAGCUCAGAAAUAGUCUACUGGUUAUAGCUCAUCUCUAGUUUCAGGUCUUACAAAAUAUUCUACUUAAAGAUGCUAUGACAAUUUAAAUUUCAUGUAUGAAGCUAAGCAAUAAUUAUGUCCAAUAUGGCCUUAUUGGCUGCCCCAGAAUUCUAAAAACUGCAAAAGAAUUUGUGUCUCAUUUUACAAGGUCUAACAAUUUACUCACAUUUCUACCACUGAACAAUUCAAAGCUCAUCUUUGAUGGCACAUGGCAACAUUUGCCACCCACAAACCUAGGAUAGCCAGUUAAUGUCUCAGUCUUCAUUGCCACAUUUGGUCUUGCCCAGAGGGGACAAAUUUUAUUCUUCCUCUUCACACAAUCAUGUUUCAUAGGGCAAGUUAAAAAACAAUGUGAAGCAUUUGAAAGUUAUAAGACCAGCAACAGGAAAGCGAGGAAAACCUGCUGCCUGUCAUGAAAAACAUGAAGCCAUUUUGCCAAGUUAACAAAGAACGAAGAGGUGCAAUGUUGCAAUGGGGAAGGCAAAUGUAUGAUUUCUUUUCUGCUUAACUCUGUGCAAGCUUUUCCCUUAGCUCUGUGCAUGUCUUUCCUUUCUUAUAUGACUUCAGGCUAGUCAUUUCACUUAUUCAUACAUGGCUUGCAGAGAGUACCACCUCCCAACCUCCUACUCCUACCUCCCAGGCUACAGGCAUGCCAGUUGCUAAUGCUCCGAGAUCUCCCCAGCCUGGCCCAGACUCCCACACGAUGAGAUGUCCUCUGUGCAAUUUGUACAGCACCUUUCUCAAGCAUGGAGACAUUGCACGACCCAGCAGUGAACAAUGAGGCAGCAGGAGGCAGCACCAACGGGCGACAUCUAACACGUUCAGGAAAAACAAAAUUAAGCAGCGAAGCUCUUUAGAGCAACAGAGGCUUUUAAAGAGAGUUCUCUCAGGUAAUGUAAGCGGCUGCUUUCUCACCGCUCUCACAAGGGCAUGCCAUGGGGCCAAACGAGCAAUCCCUCCAGCCCCAGGAGAAAGAGCUGAGCUGCAAUGAGGACCAAAUCCAUUUAUUUUUAUGUCUCAAUGAAAAUACUGGAUAGUUUGUAAAUCACACAUGCUCUGAUCGCAUUCCUUUUAAGAAUACACAGCAGAUUUAUUCACAUAGGGGAAGCAAUUGAUCAGCCUCCCUGCACAGAGAUUCUUAGAUGAAUGUGGCUGUUCGGUUUCUUACUAAAUUAGGAGCUGCAGAGCAAGUGUGACCAGAGAUGGGGUGCUGAGAAGGCACAGGUAUUAUGUGGAAAAUUUGGCGUGCGUACCAUAAGGACUAUGCAGUUGAGAAACAACGUUCAUGUCUGGUCAGUUUUAAUUUCUGAACAUGGCUUACAAUCUCCAGUUCAACCACAUGUUGUCCUCCAAUUAAACCAUACCAUGUAAGGCCCUGAUGGGACGAAUACAGAGAAAUCACAUUUUCCACACUGCUGUCAGGAGCAGAACAGAAUGGUAAUUUUGCAUUUGGUUUUGUUUGUCAGCCUGCAUUUUAAUGUAUUUUCUAAUAUGACCACCUGAUCCAGAACCAAACCCACAUUGUUCUCUCUGAUAAGACUGGGGAAUAAAUUCCUCCAAGGCAUCUUUGCAAAGGGACUUAUCUCUUUAAGUUUGCUGAGUUUCUGAGUGGGUGGAAUAGGUUAUGCUUUGCAUUUCAAGAAACAGAAUGAAAUGCCACCAACAACACAGAAUUUCAAUACUGGCAUUGCCGGAGCUCAGAGCGUGCUCUUUAAAGAAAAUGUAAGAUUUAACCCACACCUGAGAUAUGAGUCUUUAUGACUGUUAGUUGGAUGUUUGAGUCAUUAUUUUAAAAUGGCCAUCAACACAGUGCAUAUUUACUUAGUAGCUUUGUUGUGUUUUAGUUGCUAAAUGACUGGGGCUAGGUGGUGUUGGCUUUGUACGUGAGAACAAAAAGGACUUUAAAAAAUUUUUCAGUUUCUAAUCUACUGUGACAGCAUAAUAACUAUGUAGUCUAAGGAUUAAGAGUACAGGCUCUGUAGAAAGACUUGGUUCAAAUCCAGGCUCCGUCUCUCAGGCAGACUACUUCAUCCCUCCAUGUCUCAAUUUUCACGUGCUUGAAAUGGUGUGACAACAACCUCAUAGGAUGAGCGUGAGAAUUAAAUAAGUCAUCUUAAGUGCUUAGCACUGUGCUUUAGAGAAAAAGUGCACAUAAAUGUCCAUUUUUAUUAUGAUUAAGGUUCAGAUUAACAUGACUGAAUGCCUGAGAACUACCAGCAACAUGCCAGCUCCUGUUUUUGAAAACCUUACCUCUAGGAAAGUAGCACAUUAUCUUUUCAUCUUAUCACUAAAGAAGAUUUUACGUUGGAGGUCUUCAGCCCUCUUUUUAGUUUAUUUAAGGACUUAUCUUCCUUUAUUGUCUCCCUUUCUGUGCUCAUCUCCCUUUAACCAGAGGUUACUGCCUCCUCUGUAGGAUCUAUGACCUUGUUACUCAUUUAGCCCCUAACACUCAUAAUUGCGUUACUAUUUAUUUUUUUAUUUGUUUUACAUUAAUGUCCUUCGUUUCCUUACCUAGAGUGAAGCCUCUUUGAGAAGAGGCAGCAGAUCUGCGUAAACCACCCCUCACCUAAUGAAUUUUUCCUUAGGAUAUAAAGGAAUAGGAACCAGCUCUUAGAAAAAUAAGUCUGUUGCCUCAAGUACUUUCCUAAGCUUAAAGAGAAUUUGAAAACCUUGCACAUCUUCCACACACUCAGGCCUGCUUCAGUAUUUGUCAAGGCCUCAGCCACCCUGAAGAUAUUGUCAAGACAAAAGACUACAGAGGUGAGAGGAGUAGAAGAUUAGAAAGACAUAUUUCAGCACUUCACAAUUGCAUUUUAAGCCUCUUCACAAAAGUAUCUCCCUGCACAUGGGAGGAUAGGCUAAAAAUGUUAAUUUAGGAAUUCCAGGCAAAGACGCUAUGAGCUGAUACAUAAAAUUCUAUCUGUCUGUCUAUCCAUCCAUCCAACCUACCUACCUUCCUACCUACUUACUUACCUAUGUCUAUCAAAUAGUCAAUGGCUCCUUGUGGUAUUCGUGCAAGAAUACAGCAAAUUUGAAGUCAUAUUUUUUACACUAUUCUGAUCAUCAUAAUAAGAAAGCCAGUUGGCCAUAAACAUAACUAGGGCUCUGAUGAAUGCAGCCUAAGUUGUUGCUCUCAGCAGUUGACACAUAGCCUUCUGCACCUACACACGAACGACUCUGCCGAAUCUCGCUUUCAUCAUUGUGCUGCUUGCACAAUCAUUGGGAAACAACCGCAGCUUUGUGGGUAUGGACCGAAUGCCAGCAGUGAGGAGUGCACUUCCAGUGUGUUUGCCACUGUUUUCUUUAAUGAUUUCUCAAGUGAAUAUGGUCUCUGUCCUUCUGUUCUUUAGAAGGUAUAUGUUGAGCUUCAAUGAUUUCAAAGCUAAUGGUAAAAUAUGCACUAUUCAGCACCGCUCUGUCGAGAUUUGAAUCAUUAUUUGUCCUCUUUGUCUGGACAGACUGUAGGGUUAAAUGGCUGGGGUUUUUGAAACAAAAGAUUUAUACUCCAUUUUCUUUGUACUAUCCAUCCACGCCUCCUGUAAUAGGAGCCGGUUGAAAGCUCUAUGUCUGGGUUGUCAUUUCUCUUGCACAGUAUAUAUUAGAGUCCAAACGACCUCUACACCAUCAAGGUUCUAUAAACCUUAAAUUUAAGCUACCUUCUCCACCAAAGUACCUAAAACAAUAACUUUUUUAUGUUGCAACAAACAUUACAGUUAAUGAGUACAGUGCACAUGUAAUGAUACAGUGAAUCAGUGUGAAGCCUCAAAUAAUGAUUUCUGUUGGCACUAUAAAAGGAAUGUAAUUUUUCUUGUUGAAAUACCAUUUUUCAGUUACUGCAUGAGUGAUGUGGUAAUUAUCCCCUACACCUGGGAUUUAAAUCCAAUCCUACAAGCCCAUUUUCUGUUUGCAAGCUGUCAGGCUGAUGCAUAGGCUUUGUUCUUAUCUGGCAGUAGGCAAGGAAUCGGUAAUUCAGAAACAACAAAGCCACUGAUGGGUCAUCAUGUAAUCUGCACUGAAAAUUGCAAUCUGUAAUGAGAUUGGAAACGCAGAUGAGGUGACUAAAAUUGAUUACCUACUAUAUCUGAAAAUUUCAAUUUUAUUGCACAAAUAUGAUCAAACUAGUCCAUAAGUUUGGGGAUUAGUUGAGAAAGAAUAAAGAUUACUUUUAAAUUAGGUGAAUGCAGAUAAGUUAUUUAAAUGUAAAUUAUUUGCUUUAUAGCAAUAUGGUUGGUCUGCAGGGUGAUUCAUAUGGCUACAUAUUUUAAGCUCCCCGAUGGCAUCAUUUCUGCCUGGGAGUUCCAAUUAGAGAUGACAUAUACACUUUCAGCUCUUAAAAGUAGUACAGCAAAGCAGACCAUGAAUGAAACUCAUACCAAUCCCCAAGCCAUAAAAAUUCACCUUUCAUAUGCUUAUUAUGGGAAAAAAUAACAUCUAGAAGUCCUGGGAGCUUUAAAAAACAAGUAGCAGACUGUGCUUGGAGUAUUUGAAAACAUCUUCCACUCCCCCUCGCCCCCAAUGCACACAAACUGUUUUCCAAAAGGUCAGACUUUGUGGAUUUAGCUCAGGAGUCAAGAUGACAGGUUCAAUCCCUUGCUUCCAAUAGGAGCCGUGGACUUUAUAUAAUCUUAGAACCACAAGAGAUAUUGGUGAUAUUCUGGGCCAACUUUCCAGCUACUAUAAAGAUCUCUUCAUUUCUUGUCAGUAACAUGAUAAUAAUUUCUAUCUCUGGAAAUCUGGCAGAUCUCAAUGUUCUUGAAACAAAUGGUAUAUCUAAUAAAGAAUCUUUAUUAUGACACAUUUUCUAAAAUGAAUUACAAUAUGCUCACAUAAUGCCACCAAAAUAUUUCACCUCUUUGUCUAGCUCCUAGAAAGAAUCCAUUAGGGGGGAACGAAGAGACUUAAGAGAUUAAUUUCUACUUGAGAGAACAUCCUCUAGGAAAAAUACAUGUCAUCAAAGCUCAACUUUCUUUGUCUUUUUGGGUUGUCAAGGAAAAAAAAAUUUCCAUCCUGUGGGCUGUAGCUGCUCUUGCAGCUGCAAAAGUUUCUUCUCCUCUUGAAAGUCAUUACCAAUAGAUUAUGAAACAAGGGUUCCCCUCUGAUUGUUGUAUUCAUGAUCUUAUAUAAGACAGCUGAGGAGCUGGAAGGUCACAUUAGUGAAGUGCUUGGUCACGUGCGCUAAAUUACUCUUCGGCAGGAAUUUUAUAUUCUGAAUCUUUUCAGAGCUUCACUAGUCUCCUGCCCAGUGUACACUGUUCCUAGGCCUAUUUUCAUAACCUGGCCCUCUUCAGAAGGAAAAUUCCUAGGAAAAAAAAUGUGUUUUUAUUAUUAGUUUUGUUUUGCUUUGUUUUUGCUUUGGUCUUACAUCCCGACUUUUCUGCUCAGUUCCUCUGAAACCCAGAGAGAGCCCAGUGGCACCUAACACAAGAAAUAUACAUUGACAUUGAUCUACAAAUCCCAAAAGAAUGACCGAAGCUCUAGUGACUCAAAUUUGCUGGGCUUUGCUAUUUUCUUAACCACCAUGUACACUCUUCUCUUCUAAAAGAGAAAGGAAAGAAUGGAAAGAGAUGCUUAUUUAUAAACUAUGAAAAGUUUACAUUCCAAGCACCAUCUUCACAGAACUGCUUUUGUUAUUCUUGCUCUUCUUUCAAAAUGUAAACUCCUUCUGCAAUGAACUUACUUUUUUAUAUUCAUUCUUCUCUUCUGAAAAUCUCAAUAUUGUUUUACAUGUAGAAAAGUAAUAUGCUCCUCAUUUCAAGCAUCCAUAUCUCACAUUUGAAGCACAUAAACAAAAAAGAUGUCAGCUGUCCCUGCACCCAUGCAAAUUUCACACCCAGCCCCUCUUUUUCAAUGAAACUGCUUUCUUAGUGAACCUUAGUCAAAGACACUGUAGUCAGUCUCUAAUCUGGAGGGUGGCAAUAGCUCUGUUUCCCAUCAUACAUCUCUAAAAUGCAUUCUCCAUAAAACUGUCAGUUAUCCUUUUAAAACACAAACUUGGUGCCAUUCUUGUGUUUAAAUCCCUCCAGUGGCUUCAUAUCACACUGAAAAUAAAUUCCAAACAUCUUACACUGGCCUACAAUAUUAUGGACUCUGCCAACCUCAUCUCAUAUAAUUCUCAGCCUUGCUCACUGUGCUAUUGCCAGGCUUGGCAUCUUUGAACUUUACCAGCUUUUUCUUGCAAUAGGAACUUUGCUGUAACUUACCUGCUUUUUGUUCCUGGUUCCUUCUGGUCAGUCAGAUUACAGCCAAGUUAUCCCUCCCUCAGGCCUUCCUUGUCCCCACCUCCCCUCCAAUCCAAUCCAAAAUAUCCACGAGUCACUUUAUAUUCACACAUUCUCUUCAAAUUCCUGAAUAGUAUCUAACAUUUCUGGUACUUAUUAUUUUUUCUCUUCCAACUCAAUUUUAAGUUGUAUGAGAGCUGGGACCUAGUUUGUCUUAUCUCUAAGACCUAAGCUUUGAAAUUGCCUAACACAUGGUACACACUUAAUAAAGAUGUUAGAAUAAAUAUCAGUCCUUAUCUCCUACUCAUUUUACCCAAUUACUUUUUCUCACAGUUUUUUAAUAAUUGUUUUCCCAUAUGCAGAACUGAUGCUGUUGACAUCUCCCUUCCUGAAAUUCUCUUGGCUUUUGAAUUCUAUGUUACACAUAUUGGGUUUUCUUUCUACAUUUUCAUUUCCUUUUCUAGUCCUGUAAUUAAAAUGCUGAGUUUCUUCAAGAUACUUAACUGGCCUUUUUUUUCUUUCUCACUGUCUUUCUUGAAUAUUUCCAAUACUUUUAUGGCUCCAAUGAUUAUGUCAAAGAAAAACUGCACUAGACAAGUUAAACAGGCUUUAUUUAAGACUAUUAUAAUAGGAGAGAGAGAUUGAACUCAAAUCCACUAAAACAAAAGGCAGGAGAGUUUUAAGCUCUGGGAUGAGCUAGUGGAAAAGUGCUGGAAGAUGUGAAGAGGGAGAAUGGUCAAUGGGAUUAGGCCAUUAUUGUUUGCUAAUUGGUAUUUAUUAAAGUUAGGCUCCUACUUUCCCACAGAGAUUGAGAGAUAAUGUCUCUGUCUUUCUGGAUGGUUACAUGUCAAAGGGAUGGCUCCCAAAUCAUUGAAAAAGCCAUUUCUCAGUUGUAAAACUGGCAAGAGGUUGGGAGAAGAGUUACAUCUCAAAGCGGCAGAAGGGGAAUUUACAAUUGCAUUUUCUAAA
rnacentral:lncRNA from 10 species